rnacentral:rRNA from 1 species
CAGCUUGCUGGCUUCGCUGACGAGUGGCGGACGGGUGAGUAAUGUCUGGGAAACUGCCUGAUGGGAGGGGGAUAACCACUGGAAACGGUGGCUAAUACCGCAUAACGUCGCAAGGACCAAAGAGGGGGACCUUCGGGCCUCUCACUAUCGGAUGAACCCAGAUGGGAUUAGCUAGUAGGUGGGGUAACGGCUCACCUAGGCGACGAUCCCUAGCUGGUCUGAGAGGAUGACCAGCCACACUGGAACUGUGACACGGUCCAGACUCC